rnacentral:sRNA from 1 species
CGCGAAGGAACGCAGACUAAGAUCGCUGCGUCCUGUGGCAGCGUCUGCAUGACCCGCAUCCUCCCAAAAGCUGU